GACAACCUGGUUGAUCCUGCCAGUAGUCAUAUGCUUGUCUCAAAGAUUAAGCCAUGCAUGUCUCAGUACAAGCCAAAAUAAGGUGAAACCGCGAAAGGCUCAUUAAAUCAGUUAUGGUUCCUUAGAUCGUACCAACAUUUACUUGGAUAACUGUGGUAAUUCUAGAGCUAAUACAUGCAAACAGAGCUUCGACCGGAGACGGAAGAGGCGCUUUUAUUAGAUCAAAACCAAUCGGCGGCGGGUUCGCUUGCGGGCUCGUCGUCGUUUUCACUGACGAAUCUGAAUAACUUUCUGCUGAUCGCACGGUCUCGCACCGGCGACGCAUCUUUCAAAUGUCUGCCUUAUCAACUGUCGAUGGUAGGUUCUGUGCCUACCAUGGUUGUAACGGGUAACGGGGAAUCAGGGUUCGAUUCCGGAGAGGGAGCCUGAGAAACGGCUACCACAUCCAAGGAAGGCAGCAGGCGCGCAAAUUACCCACUCCCGGCACGGGGAGGUAGUGACGAAAAAUAACGAUACGGGACUCAUCCGAGGCCCCGUAAUCGGAAUGAGAACAAUUUAAAUCCUUUAACGAGGAUCAAUUGGAGGGCAAGUCUGGUGCCAGCAGCCGCGGUAAUUCCAGCUCCAAUAGCGUAUAUUAAAGUUGUUGCGGUUAAAAAGCUCGUAGUCGAAUCUGUGUCCCGCGCCGCCGGUUCGUCGCUCGCGGCGUUUAACUGGCGUGUCCGCGGGACGUCCUGCCGGUGGGCUUAGCCUUUUCAUUAAGGCGGCCCAAUCUUAAUCCCGCCGCGGUGCUCUUCACCGAGUGUCGAGGCGGGCCGGCACGUUUACUUUGAACAAAUUAGAGUGCUUAAAGCAGGCUAAAACUUCGCCUGAAUACUUCGUGCAUGGAAUAAUGGAAUAGGACCUCGGUUCUAUUUUGUUGGUUUUCGGAACCCCGAGGUAAUGAUUAAUAGGAACGGAUGGGGGCAUUCGUAUUGCGACGUUAGAGGUGAAAUUCUUGGAUCGUCGCAAGACGGACAGAAGCGAAAGCAUUUGCCAAAAACGCUUUCAUCGAUCAAGAACGAAAGUUAGAGGUUCGAAGGCGAUCAGAUACCGCCCUAGUUCUAACCAUAAACUAUGCCAGCUAGCGAUCCGCCGAAGUUACUUCUAUGACUCGGCGGGCAGCUUCCGGGAAACCAAAGCUUUCGGGUUCCGGGGGAAGUAUGGUUGCAAAGCUGAAACUUAAAGGAAUUGACGGAAGGGCACCACCAGGAGUGGAGCCUGCGGCUUAAUUUGACUCAACACGGGAAACCUCACCAGGCCCGGACACCGGAAGGAUUGACAGAUUGAGAGCUCUUUCUUGAUUCGGUGGGUGGUGGUGCAUGGCCGUUCUUAGUUGGUGGAGCGAUUUGUCUGGUUAAUUCCGAUAACGAACGAGACUCA
rnacentral:rRNA from 1 species